GACAGAGGUGCCGAGCGUUAGGCGGAAUCACUGGGCUUAAAGCGUGUGUAGGCGGAUUCCUAAGUACCUUGUGAAAUCCCACGGCUUAACCGUGGAACUGCUUGGUAUACUGGGUGUCUUGAGCCAACUAGAGGCAGUCGGAACAAACGGUGGAGCGGUGAAAUGCGUAGAUAUCGUUUGGAACGCCAAUGGUGAAAACAGACUGCUGGGGUUGUGCUGACGCUGAGACACGAAAAGCCAGGGGGAGCGAACGGG
rnacentral:rRNA from 1 species